AUCCACAACAAUAUUCAUGCAUUGACACAAGGAGAGCAGACAGUUUUGACUUAUAUUUUACCUGUGACUGUCCUGUAUCUUGGGAAGGUCCGUACUGUGACCAAGACGUCGACGAGUGUGCAUCAGGUUACUGUGAAGCAUGGAAGAUCUGCGAGAACACAAUGGGAAGUUAUGAUUGCUACUGUAAAGCUAGCGAUAUCAUCUGUAAACUGUCUGUUGAAGUGUGGGAGUUUGCUGUUAUUGUAACGGCGAUAGUAGUUGUCCUUUUAGCUAUACUAGCAGUGUUUAUAGUACGGAAAUUGAAGUCAAAGAAGCACAAGAUCAAAAAAGAGUUAUUGGACAAAGAGAUAUCAGAGUCAAGUAUAUCAUUAACAGCUGUGUUGCAAAAUCCACAGGUAUGACAUUUGAUUACUAAUUAUAGAUAAACCUGAUCUCACCGUGGGACAGUGUAAAUAAAAGUUGUCCCGCAUUAGUAACAAACGUCGCGAUUUGCUGCAAACUAUAAAAUUGUAAAACACACUAAGGAACUAAAAACGCAUGUAGUCGCUGCUUUGCAUAAGACAGGACGAUAAGGUAAUCACUUGUAAGAUCCCGACGAAACAUGCCAGAAGAAAAGUAGUAAAACAGGUAAGUCCCAGUGGAACCAUAUCUUGAAACCAUCUGCUUGUUCCGCCAGACAAAAUCCGAGACAAAAGCGUAGCGUCAACUCCAAACGGGCUAAAUACCACUAAUUACGCAAAUUGACUGGGAUGAAAGCGUAGCGUCAACUCCAAAAGGGCUAAAUACUAUUUAUUACGCGAAUUGCCUCAAAAUAGCCAAGAAAUAACUUUUUUAAAUAAAACGUUUUAUAUUUUCAACAAACACAAUUCAAGGUCGGGAGUAGCGGAAAUGUUCCUAAAUAUUGCGGUGUUUGCCAAAGCUUUUAUGAUAGCACAGCUUGUUGUAUGUAUUUGUUUGAUAUGUUUAAUACGUAAAUUGCAGCGAUAUUUGUGUUUAGAAGACUUGUCCUUGAUAUGUCAGUAAUAGUAUUGUGAUAAUGAUGAUUUAUAUUGCGAAAGGCACAUAUACAGUUUUGAACUGACAUUUUUUUUUGUGCCGCGACUACUGUAUAUUUGUUAUUUUAUAUCAUGUAUACAAUUACAUUUUGGAUUUAAUACCUACAUGCACAGUAUGAUUGCGAUUAUUCAUUCAUCAUACGCUCAUAACUCGAAUGUCUGUGCAUAUAAAAUGAUUAAUACAAUCCCUCUUUCAGGAUCUUGGACCUGCUAGACCUCGUUUAGGAAAAGUCGGACCGUGGCCUUUACACAACGAGGAUGAAAGUAGUAAAUCAAAAGUUUCUACAUCACCAAUACCCCCAAUGUCCUUGUUUACUACUGGCCAUUUCCGUGGUGAUAUGCACGGGAAUGAUAAUGAUUCAGUGGAAGAAGGUUUUGUACGUCCGGCACCAGUCUAUGAUCAUGAACAACAUGUAUCGGAACUUACA